GGAUGGAUAGCUCAGUUGGUAAAGCGCCGGAAUUGCAAUCCGGAGGUUGCAGGUUCAAGCCCUGCUCCGGUCA